AAUAUUUUCAAAUGGUUCAAAAUCACUAAAGAAGUUUUUAAGUUUCUCAAUAUUUGUGUCAUUUAAUGGAAAUCCUUUUAAAUAAACUGUUCGGGCUUCCUGUGCUUUCCUAUAUUCUUCAUUAUAAACAGGUAAAGGAUGUUUUGGUGAGCGACGAAUUUUUUUUCUGUCCUCUGAUAUUUCUAUAAGUUCACUAGACUCCAAUGCCUUCAGUAUCGUAUCAGAAUUCUUGCUCAUAGAGGUUAACAUUUUAAAAUUUAACAUGAUAGACAUUGGUAUCCAACCGUUAUCCAAUUUUGUUUGGUCAAUGAGAAACUUAUCUUUCUGCAUGUUAACAUCUCCAAAGUAGAACUACAAAUGAAUACAAUUGUUGUAGUUAAAAUAAGUAUGAUUAGUGAACAAGCAAGAGCAUAUUCAAAAUAUUUAAUCCUCCACUGAUGGAGGAAAAAGAUAGCCCAACCCUUCCAGUUCGAAGAUAUUUAAGGAUAGAAAUAGCCUUGCCUUAAUAAUUGUUGCAAGUAUCAAAAAAUGUCUCUUUAAGAAUCUAGGACAAACUAGAGUUCUUGACACUUUUCAAAGAUUUUGGAAAAUAAAAUCACGAACACUAUGAGAGGAUAAGAUAAAAAAUCAACAAAAAAUAAGUUUUAGAGGAUGGAGUCAACCUGUAGGAAAUCAGUCAAUCCUAAUUGAGGUUGAGGAUAAAAUACGACAUACUUAACCUCUUGCCAUAAUUUGACGUAAUUUGACGAGUCUGACUUGUGAUAACAAUUUUGGUCUAAACAUGAAUACUAUGAGUCAGACUCGUGAAAAGAAAUGCAGGCCAAACGUAAACAUCACGAGUGAGACUCGUGGAGAGUUUCAGGAUUGCAGGAUUUAUAGUACUAAUAUUUAUGUUUUGAAGUAUUGACUAAGAUAUUGUACUAAAAAUAUGUAUAGAAAAAAGGAACAAGGAUUAAAUUAGAGUUGACGUCCACAAGAACAGUAUCGUUUGGAAAUAAGUAAGUCUAUAGCUAUAUAACAGAUAUCCGCAUGUCGACUUCUAUUAUGAUUGUCUCGUGCAUUACGCUGCCCAUUUAGUGUGCGUCAUCCCAACUGCUUGGGCACGAAUUUCGUUGAGCUAAAUGGUAUGGCAAGGGGUUAUAUGUUGACUAAAAAAAUGAUAGUUAUCAAGACAUCACUUUAUACAAUACUAAUAAAAUUGGUGAGUGAGGUUGGAAAAAAUUUCUUAAGUAAGCUUACUGUUUAGCUCAAGUAAACAAAAUAAAAUAAAGUCAAUAAAUAAAAUAGGAAGAGAUUGAAAAAACAAGAUUAACUGUGAAAACAGGCAGUUAAAAACUAUAAUUAAAGUAUAAUAAAAGUAGAAGUGCUUUGUAUUAUACUUUAUACUUAAUUUAUAGAAUUUAAAUAUUAACCAAGGACCUAUAUGUUAAUCAAAUCCAUUUCUUAGUCUAUUGAUAAAAAUUAAUAAACUAACUAAUUAAAUAUUAUCACAUAUUUAGCUUGAAAGUAUAAUACAUAAUAAAGCUGAAUACCCUAUACAUAGAAUAUGAUUAUGAACCUACUAUGCACAAAUUUAAUUAACUGUUGUAUACGCAGUAGAACUCCACUUAUCUGAACUUCAUUUAUUGGAACAAAGUUUUGAGCAAUAUCCAAUGUGUACUUAACUUCUGCUGAACUCUUAUUAUCUGAACUAAUGUCAAACGUUAGACCACUUAUGCGAACACCUAUUGUUAUCAUCUGAGAAAUGAAUUAAGUGUUUGAUUAAAUCCAUUUAUCUGAACGUGAACUCCUAUAAUCAGUGGACUUCUAUUAUAUGAAUAUACCCUGUUAUAUGACCUAGUUGUUUCUCAGUGUUCAUAUAAAUGGGAAUCUACUACUAUAUUAAUAAAUAAUACCUCAACUUGA